AGGGUCUCACUGUGAAGCCCUGACUGGCCUGGAACUCACUCUGUAGACCAAAAUGGCCUCGCUCUCACAAAGAUACGCCUAACUCUGCCUCUUCAGUGCUGGGACUAAUGGCGUGACUGAUUGGUUUUUCACUGCCCCAAAUUGACCCUUGACACUGGACAGGAGAAAACCCCACAGUGAUGCGAUGAAUGCUAUCCUACCAAGUGGAGACUGAGCUCACAGGUUGCAGGCCUACCGACUAGAACUUAGGGCUCCAAAAUGACCAUUCAAUACUAGUGAGCGGACACCAAAGGUGAAACCAUAACCUUUGUCACUCAGUUAUAUAAGUGUUUACUAUAAAUAGAAAUAGAUAAAUUGCCAGAUAAAGGAUGGUCAGAUCUAUAAGCCAGAGUAACACACAAGAACUCAGAAGGAAGUUCCCACUAGGGUUUUACCUAUUUUUACAGAUGAACUAGAGUAUGUCUUUCUCAAAGAUACUUGCUAACAGUGGGCCUAGAACUGAACUCAAAGUCUUGACACAAUCUGUCUGUCCCCAAGUCUCCCUCAACAUAAGCUCUAAAUAAAUGGCUUGAUUGGAGCCAAGGUAUUGUGAUUAGCUUGAAUACAGAGGUUACCUGCUUACUUGCAACAUCCCUGUCUGUUUGAUACGUUUAAAUUGCAAGAAAAAGAAAACUCAUUUCUAUUCUCAAUGUUGGAUGAUAUUGCAGAAUUUACUCUUGUGUCUGCCCGGGCCCACCAUCACGUUAUCUGCCACCUCCACCCAUGUGUGGAAAGGAGCUGGAGUCAUUUGUAGGACAACAAUGAGUGUCCAAACAACAGCAUAUUAAUAACCCAGCCUUCUCUUAAAAGCCUUUUCUUGAUGGCAUCUCCAGCUUUUCACUCAGGCAUGAAAAAUCUCAGGAUGACCACAUGACCUGGCGUGGGUGAAAGUGAUGGUGGGGAGGGGCUAGCAAUCCAAGUUCCAGCUUUUAUCUACUUUCUCUUUGGAAUCAAGCCCAAGGCCUGACUGCAUGGCUGUCUGUGCAAAGGGCCCCUUGACAACAUCAGGAUUUCAGCUUCAGGGAGAGAGGUUUCCUGUACGCAGAUACAGCUGACCCCCUUCGCCUGGGGUAGCACAAAAGGGGAAGGGAACUCCGAACUAUACACUUAGUCAGGCAUAGGACCUACAUCAAGAGUUUCUCUCACACAGCUCUGUGUUCUCGUUCUCCAGCACUUUUUGUGAAGGGAGAAAUUAAAAGAGGAAGAGAACACAGAAAAAGGCUAUAUACCUUGUACGGCGCAAAGCUAAAGAAAACUGAGUUCUCUGCCCACUGGGCAAUGGGGCCAUUUUUCUCUUUUACUGCAAUGUUCACCUCUAUUGUCUGCUUAUUAUUUCUCUUGGUUUGCCAUUUUUGCUCCUUAGCAUUUUUCUUUCUUUCCAUCCUCAUUUCUGGAGUUAGAUUCCUCCGUAGCCUGUGAAAUCAUCACGGCGAUGCCUUCCUUUUGCCCCCUCUCCAAAAUCUGCCAUGAAUUCUAGAACCUCCUGUCCAGCUUUCUAGGGAGCUGCUGGAGCCUCGCUCACCUGCAGUCUCUGUGUGAGGCUGAAGAAAUCGAUUUAAAUAAAACUUCAAACAGAAGUUGAGUCUGGAUCAGCAGGAUAGCUCAAGAGAUAAGGGCGCCUGUUACCAAAUCUGGGAACCUGAGUUUGAUCCUUGGGACAUGAACAAUGCCUCCACCCCAAUGCACACAAGUGAAUAAGUAUAAUUAAAAACAAACAAAAAAACGGAAGCUUAGGUAGUAUGUUUUUUUUAAAAAAAAAGUGCUUCUGGGAAAGAACACAACUCAAAAUGUAGCACUUCAGAAGUUACCAGGCCGGGGAGGGGAGGGUGCUGGCUCCCCAGCAGGCCCUGGGUAAUUCCUGGCCUCCUCUCAGUUUGACAGCAACACUCCAAGUUCACUGAGCAGGCAAACAGGCCUCUGCUUAUCCUGACUACACUGAGGUCUCAGUGCAGUUUCCAUAAAUUACUCCUCCAGUCAUCUUUGCUUUCUCUUCUGCAGUGCGACUUGGGGACACUCCCUGCCUGUUUCAUCUCUCCCAUUGCCAAGAAAGCUUUCCCCCAUGCUUGUGCAUUUUCUAUAAAUUAGCCACACAGAUUAGUCAAAUUAAACUGUCUAGAUUUCCCCCCUAAAACUCCCAUCCUCAUCUUGGCGGGCCAUAUGCAGCCCUAACUUACUCUCACCUCCACUUUCCCACACCGUCUGGUCUCCACUGACUAAUGCUCCUGUCAGCAGAUCUACUGGGCAUGGGUUACACAGACUGGUCACCAGGCGGACACACGGAGAGACACAAUUCUUCUCCCUCUGGGUACAGACUAGCGUGUGUCAGGCCAGAAGGGCAGAGGAAGGAAGAACAUCCCGCCGACAUACAAGGCUUCCCAAUACACAGCUGCAAGGGCUCAGAGAAAGGCCAGGCCAUCGAGGCAGGGAGUUGUGUGCAGGGGGAGGGGGACUUGUAUGCACAGGGGAUGCUAAUGGCCCAACCUGACAUUUGUGUUUCAAACAAAUUCUCAUGGAAAAGGUAAUUGAGAUGAAAGUUGGCACUUAUUACAUUUCUGUCAGCCCAACCCCAAUUUCUCAUAGAGCCUAGUCAUGUGGAUACAUGCUAAUUUCCUUGGCAGCCCAAGAUAAAGCUCUUAAUGUGAUUUGAGUCCCUUGGAGAUUAGCACUAUUAUAAAUAUAAAUGUUCAAACACAAGCGAGUUGUAACCAAAUGCCCACCACACACUGGCUUUCUGCUAGCUGGGGCUUUCAGUGGUGUAUGGCUAAAUGGACUCACUGGCUAAUGUCAAGGCGGGGUUCCUUCCCACAGGAAGCAGCCAACAUGUGUGUUACUUGUGUAUGGAAUGUACAGAAGUUGGGAGAACGGUUUGGAUGACAAUCAGAAAAAUACCAAUUCAGAAGCUCAAGCAAGGGUUUGGGUAGGGGACUGUAAUCAAAACAGGCUCUUCUUGCAGCCAACCUGCAAAACCUAACCUUCAUGUUCUGAUUAGUUUGUGUUGCUUGCACAUGAUGACACCCUCCACCUCCCGAAACCAACAGCUAUAAAUAGAUAGCAAGUUGUUUAUAUAAGAGAAAAUAAGGUCUGAACGCUUAGAAUGUGCAUUUGACACUAAACCAGUGUGACUGUUUGGAGCACAGAAGCUGUAUACCUCACCCAACUGGGGUUUUGAUGUGGUCAUCACUCACAUAGUAGUGCUGUCCCCUGGCAACACCUUGUUUGCCCAAUUCUGAGGUGGUCGAAAAUAUAAAAACAUUCCUGUUUUAAGAAAAUUCUAAAAUGAAAGGUUACUUCAUCAACUUGCCCAAAUUUAGCACAAACAUCCACAGCCUGUUUGCUUCCUCUCAGUUGGGAAACUAUUUUACUUGGCCUUUGACUCUGUGUCUCUACCUUCGUACUCCACAGAGGGGGAAAUUCAGGGGUGGGGGAGGAGGGAGAGAGGGAGGACAGAAGAAGAAAGAGAGGGAUGGAGAGAAUGAGUUAGAACCAGUCAGACUUGAUCCUGAACUUGGUAUCCCUCGGGUGUACUUGCCUCCUGCACUCUUGGCUGAAGGUUCGGUCAUCAAAGGGAAGGGGAUAAAGUGAAGAAAUAAUGGAGUAUUAUCCCCUGGCCAGCUGUGCCCGAUCCUGAAAUGGGUGUCACCCUACUAUGCCAACCUAAGGCCGCCCUCCAACUUGUAGCAAUCCUUCUGUCUCAGCUUCCCUAGUGUGGGAUUACAGGACCGUGACUGCUCAGUCCCACUGUGUGCCUUACACUCCAUGUGACCACUGGUGGUAUUUGCUGAAGCCAUGGCCUCCAGCUGAGGGGCCACUUUCCCCUUUGUACCCACUCUGGACGCAGCUCAAAGGCAACUUCGAAUACUUAGGAAGGUCUUCUGGGUCUUGUCCCUGCUCCCCAUCACCUGAGACUUUUCUCGCCAGGCUUCACCUCUGUCUUAAGGAGCUUGUGUGCACUACUGCCUGCCUGUAUUCUGUUGGAGUGCAGUGUGCAUUUGACCUGUCUGCUUUUCUGGGAUCUAACAGCGCUUGGUACCUUAGCAAAGCUGUGUGUUUACACGACGGCUAAGCGACUACGAACAAGCCCUAACUCAAACAGGUCCAUAACAAAUGUGUUGUGCUCUAGAAAGAUAGACAUGUUACACAUUUUAAAAGAAGCUCGAGACUGCCUGGGACUUUAACCUAAGCCUGGGAUGCUUAACUGAGUUCCAAAGUCACCACAGCACAGAGUUACCUUGGUCAAUGUACAAAACAUGUUUGACCCUUAGUACACUCUACAAAGAUAUACGGGCUCAAGGUAAGAAUGUCACGGGAGUUGCAGACUAGACAGGAGCCAAAUGGCACUGUGGUCCCUUUAUUAAAAAACAAAACAAAACAAAACAAAAAAAACAGUAAAUUAAAUACUUAGAGAAAGGUACUAGAAUUGGACUGCUUCAGGGAUAGCCACUGUCUCACAAAGUUGAGAAGCCAUGUGAUAGGUACAUAUUAGGUACUCUCAAAGGGGUCAGAUUUCCAUAUAAGCAUCUCGUGCACUGACUGGUGAUGAUGAGUUAGGAAGAACAGGGUGUUAUCUGGGGAUCAGCCUGCUAGGGUCAGUAGGCAAUGGUUAAGAGGUGGUUGGUAUAUUUGAGAACAGCCUGCCGCUCUCUACUACCCCGUUGUGGUGUGCAGCAGAAAUAGCAGCAGUGGGCACGGCCAACAAGGGGAUCAAGAAGUACGGCCACCUAUUCUGAGGGCUGGAGGCUAAGAAGAGAGAAGCCCUGUUUAGCCAGAUGUGGAGCACCCUGUAAAUUGCAAGCCAUUGCAGCUUUUGCUCUGAGCUUGGGGUUGCAUUGAUUCCCCUGCCACUCCCUGUCACCUGUCACUCCCUGUCCCUUCUGGGAUCCCCAGCCUUGUUCUCUUGGCAGGUCAGAGGUGUGACUUCCAUAUCCCAGGCUCAUUGUCCAGUCACUGAGAGCCACUGGAGCAGCCAAGCAAGGACUCUGGACUGGGACUCUUUUCUCUGCUGCUUGAAGACAUUUCUCAAGUCUUGAAGGACCCAGUUAAUACCCACAAGGUUUGCUGAGCAGCAAGCACUACCAACAAAGUUAAGAAGGCAUUAGAAAGAGGUGAGUAGGGCAAGAAUUGACAGCAAGGCUCCCCCAGUUCUGGAGAAACAGCAUCAAAUGGCAGCAGAAUGUCCACAAAGGAAAAUGUCUUUUCUUAUGUAUAUCAUCCCAGCCAUGCUGCCAGGCUUGGGACUUGCUUCAAUGAUGUUUUGAGUCAAAUGGCUCUUCAUUAGGGAAGAGGAAGAACACGGGCUUUCUUGCAUGUUUAGCAGUAUUCUUGACUUCAACCCACGAAAUGCUAAUACAAACUCAUCAAUGGGUGACCACUAAAAAAUGUCCCCUGGCCUGGGGAGAAGACUCAGUCAGUAAAAUGUUCCCCAUGCAGGCAUGAUGAUCUGUGUUUGUUCCUUAGAACUCAUAUUUCCCAAAGCUAGGGCAUGGUGGUACAGACUUAUAAUGCCAAUGUUGGGGAGUCAGAGACAGGCCCAUCCCAAGCAUGAAUUGGCCAGCCUCUCUAGCCUAUUUGGUGAAUUUCAAGAAACUGAUAGACCCUGCCUUUAAAAAGGUGGAUAGUUCCUAAGAAACAGCAUCUAAAGUAUAUGCACAGUACACACACACACACACACACACACACACACACACACACACACACACCACACACACACCCCUUUGCUUGGGCACUACAACAAUACCAGGAGCUGGCAUCUACAUCUACAUCCAGUUGACGUUCACAUAGAAACUCGAGUGUCUAAAGAAACUCAAGAAACUCUUCCCAAGUCUAGUUUUGAGUGCAUAGCCUUUUCUGCCUAGAAGCUACAGUGUAGUGAAUCCCGUAACUACUAAGAAGCUCACCACUCAGUCUGACCUCUAGACGAGCAGAGGUCCAGAAAGGAAUGCUUGCCAAAAGCAGCCUAUGGUGGACACAGCACAGCCUACGGUGGACACAGCACAGCCUACAGUGGACACCGCACUGCCUUCCAUCUUCUUCUUUCCCUUCUCCAUUUUGUGCCUGCUGAGCGGGCGUGUGGUGAGUAAGAUCCAGAAUAUGAACACAAAUCUGGAGCCGCCCUCCUUCAUGUCCUGGCACUAAACAAGAAAGUCUCCGCACAAAUAAACAAUUAAGUUAAUUGUGGGUUUGACAAAUAUUUUUCCCCUGAGGAAUUAAGUACCAUUUGGGGUUAUGUUUCCAGGCUGAGCACCAGAAGGCAAGAAAAUGAAGGAAUAUGGUCAGUUUCCCAGGACUCUAAGCCCUAAAGAAGCGACAUAACACUCACUGCCAAAAACAGGGCCAAAUCUGUCACAAUACCUAAGGGAAGUCACCCUAUUCAGAUUUCACCUAGCCAGAGACCUGGGAUGCUCCAGGGAGGAGUGUAGACGGUGUCCUUACAGCAGUUGUCAAACAAUGGCUUACUUCAUGCAAGCCCUAUACACACAGAACUACACCAGAGGAUAUUGAACAGGGUGCCCUGGAGGGCCACCCAUGUCUUUCUUCUUGUGACAUUAGUUUCAGUGAAAAUCAGAACUGGCUGUUUUUGGCUUCAACCUUAAGCUCCAGCUGGCUUUAUCUGGUCUCACUUAUUCUAAUUGUAGCUUAGUACACCGGCAGAGGUCACACCUGUGUUUAUGUCAUAUGCUAUCCAAAUAUGACGGAGGGAACACGGUGUGGCCCCCAUCAGAAGAUCAAAAACACAGGGUAGGAGGAAGGCCUUGCAGCCCUCCUGAAACCUUGACACAGGCCUAGGCACACUCCUCCUACCUGCUGAGGUGAAGUCUAGACCAGGCACGCACUGUUUAUUGACAGAGAAACAAAUACUCUCAGCCUGUCCGGUUUCAGAACAACUAGGGAGUUUCCAGUCUGGACAUGAGAGAACUUUUACACUGUACCCAAACAGUCUUUUUUUUUUCUUUCUUUCUUUUCUUUAGCCAAAAUUAGAACAAAAGCAAACAUUUACAGGGCUUCUUGCAGUAGGAAGAAGAAAUGCAAAAGUCAAAACGUUUCUUUUGAAAAACUUUGUCCAGCUCUACACUCGCCUGGCCUAGACCUUGGGAAGCUGGAACUGGGUAGGGAACAGGCGUCCCCCGGGGCCUGGAGGCCACACUUGUUCUGGGUCAGUGUCCAGGUAGGUUUUCCCAGCUGAAGGGUAGACUGUAAGGAUGUUGGAUCAGUGAGGAGAUAGUGGGGGCGGGGGUGUCCACAAAGGAGGGGUUUUUCUUGACUAACCUGAUGCCUGGAGUACAGUUAAUAAGAAACUGCCGGGAACAAUCCCACGGUGAAAGCAGUUAGCCCCCUGUCUCGGCUGCCAACUGAGAAAGAACUGAUCCCAUUUACCUGGCCUACCUAAGCCAAGCAGAGACCGUGCUAAUUAGCAUACUCUCUCAGUGUACAGGCUGGGGACUGGCUGUCACAUGCUCUCCUGCAUUCCAAACAUCAGCCUGCAAGGACGCCAUGGGCAGCCUGCCCAGGCAGCCAGCCAGGCUUCGAGCAGUGUGAUCUGCCUUCUCCAGAGGUCCUUCCUCCAUAGCACUGCCCAAGCAAGGCAGGCCUUGUUUACCAGUGAGCCCAUUGGAUCCAUUCCCCACUAGGAUCCCAGACCUGUGACCAUCCUCAGUAUGGCCCCUUCUAACAGAGUGGUAGUGGAGAAGCCUUUCUAAAAAAAACAAUCUCGGAUUUUACUCACCUGAGAGUGUCAAUGGAGCCAACUGUUACUAGAACUGAUCAUAUAUAUUAACACAUAAAAUAUCAAUAGAAACUCAUAGACGUUCUUGUCUGUCUGCACACUCCAGUCAAAGUAAGUAGUUAAUUUAUGUGAGAAUUAUCAGCAUAUGAAAGAUACUUAUAAACAACUUAAUUAUUGAGUAUAGAUUGGUAUCCAGGUUAUGUUAUUUAAACAAUAAGACAACCAAAUAAAGACAAAAAAGCAAAAAAUUCUCUCCCUGGGUCUGUUCCCUAAAAUGUACAACUCAAGCUAUCUCUUUCCCGGGCCCACCCCAUCUCCAGCCAGCAUCCCAAAGAGAGCCAGAAAUGUGCCCAUUUAAAUAGGGCCCGCCAGAAGUAGGGUUGGGCACACAGCUUGUCAUCUAAGUCACAAAAACACAACUGAAAGAGGGCUAUUCUUAAAGACUCGUGUACCAUAAAAGGGGAAUUUCCAGAGCCUCUGAUAUUAGCAAUUCAGCCUUCCAUUCCCUUCCUCUCUAGUUUCAAGAUGAGACCAUGACAGAGACUGACUUGUCAGAAAACAACAUCCAACCACGAAACUCCAGGGUCUCUAUGGACAGCUAUUCAACCUGGAGCCAUUGCACUGCCUGUUCUGGAAUAACCCCUGAGGACAACUAACUCUCAUAUAAAGGCUAUGCCCUGCUAACUUUAUCCAGAAAGAGACUGGAACUGUGAGGAAGGAGAAAAACAAUCUGUUUCAGGCUGUAUUCUCCUGGGCUCUCUGCUAAAGCACAGUUUCAUCAGAAAACACCAACUCUACCUGAACAUCUUGGAUGUCAUUUGUUUAAACAGGUUUGUUUUCUCAGUGGGGCUUAAGCAUGUUUUCCCCUGGUGUUUUUGAAGGGGAUAUUUAAACUAAAAUAAAAAUAAAUGACAUGUUUUAGAAGUUCGAGUCAUGAGGCCCGGAGUAGAGCACAGAGAUGGGCAGAGGAAGUGCGUUUUAGGACCUGUGCACUUGCUCUCCUGUUUUGGUUGCUCUAAAUAGAUUUAGGCAAACAAAUGGAAGAGAGAGAGAUGUAUUUCUACCCCACACGAGUGAGGAAUGACGACUUUAUCCCCAUGUGGAACUAGGCUUAGAGUCGGUACUGAUCAGAGUCAUCUGUCUCCCAAACGUUCUAAGCCCAACUCUAGUACUAAGAGUUCUAGUAAUCAUGUAAGACUUCUUUCUUAUUUGCACGCAGGUGUUUUCCUCAUCUGGCAUAGUCUUCACAUGGCUGAGCUUAGAGGCCUUAGGGACCAGUGGGCACGAAGAACCACUUACUAUAGAGUCCCAACAGAGAUUAAAAUUGCCUGGAAGUUCCUUCUAAGUGAAAAAGUAAACACGAGACUUUAUCACAGAAAGGGUUUUCCCCUUAGAUAAAAGAAUCUGUUAUUUGGUUUGAGGUAAUUCAUAAAUUCUCUAGCAAUAUUAAGCUAAAUAUUUUAUGAAUUUUUCUGGCAUGGAAAUUAGGGUUUGAGAACUCCUGGAAUAAAUUCAUUUGUAGACUAGUCAUCAAGUAUUUUGUACAAUGACGAGACCUGGCCCGAGAAACUAUUAUGAGUGUCUUGUUCUCUCCACCCCUUGUGAAUGCUAGGGGUGCACGGGCAGGAGGAAAGAAACACAGGAAGCCAAUGCAUAUGGGCAGCCUUAGGGAACUACAGCCUUGUCCUGUGCGCUCAAGAUGACCUGGCCACCUGCUUGGCAGCCUCCAGUGCAACGUCAGUGUGUGCUCAUAAAGCAUUCACUAGUUGAUGGCCGACUGAAUGAAGACUGAAACAACACGCGAACACAUUCCUCAGUGAGUGGGAGAGUGACUGGGUGAGCAGUAGGCAUCUGACUACAGGCCCAUGAACAACUAUAUUCAUCUUAAGUUGCUGGGUCCCCUUUGGCAGAAUGUCUCAAACAUGACUUUCCUAAGGCCAAUGGAAUGGCUCCUUUGUGCACUUUGUGUGAUUCAGCUCUACAAAAUGAAAACAACAGAAGGAAUCCUUGAAACACAAAACCUCUGGCUAAAGAGACAAGUUUCUAAAAGGACGCUAUGCCAAGAGUCUCCCUGUCGCUCUCUGAAUGCCUGCUGUGAAAUUUCAGACUUCAACCUGCGUUGGUCAGAGAGGAUGUCUCUCCUGGGUCGUCUGGGUACUUCUCAUCACAGCACCACCGUUUAUUGUUGCUGGAAUGGACUAUCCCAAAAUAGACCCUGGGAGAAAAGAGGAUCUUGAGCCUAAAAGUCCAUGUUUGGGCAUCCCCUUUGGUUUGGCUUUGGCAAGGAGUGUGUGGCAUUGCGUUGGUAAUGGUGCAGAUGAGAAAGAAAGAUCACAUGGUGAAUGAGGAAGUCAGAGACCAGAGGGAAGCCAGCCUUGCUGGUUUUAUAAUAAUCUAACGCUCAUGAGAACUAGCUCACUCCUGGAGGCCUUCAUUAGCCCCCUCAAAGGCAGCACUUCUCUUAAAGAGUUCCAUCUCUUAAACUCCCUCGUCUUCACACUGUCACUCCCCAGACCAAGCUCUCAAAGUCCUGGGAGACCCACUCAAAUGGCUGCAGCCUCCCCUGUAUUUAGUGAUGGCUGACUGCCUUCAGUUGGAAUCUUUACCCAUGUUUGAAACUAACUGUUACUUCUCCUGGGUCAGGGAACCUAGCAGAAGAAUUAACAGAUUAUUAUCAUUUGUUGAUGUAUAACAAAGACAUUUUAGCAACUUUGAUUUUUCCCCUCCAAAUGUUUUUGCUUUAACAUUUUGGGGGGCCAUCGGAAUCACAGACUCUCAAAUCUGGUGCAAGAAGGAAGUAAUGAAGUUCUUUCAGGAAGGCAGAGUUAGGGCCCUGCUGGCUUCUAAGCCAUCUCUGAGAUUCACGUGGAUAACUAGGGAAGGUAUUGGGAAUGUGUUUCCUGUAUGUUCUCAUCUUCAGGUAGAAGGACCAACUUAAGCACAGUGUUUACCAAGAAGAGCGUCCCCAAGACAGCCAACAUGGGACUGUAAGCUAUGCACAACAAGAACCACACUAGGCCAUCAGCCACUUCCAUAAAUGCAUGGUUCCAGUGAGAGAAUAUCUGAGCAAGAUCCCUUGUGGUGACCUAGUCAGAGACCAGGAGCCACACUAGCCUGUGGGAGAGACUAUUAAUAGGCAAGUUUCAGGCUACUAUAACUGCCAUGCCUGGGGGGAGGAGCGAGGCCAUUCUAAAGAAACACUCAGGCAUCCUAGGGAGUUGGAAUAGCCCCGGCCCCUACCCUGAAACGUGAUGGAAGAUGGAAAAGUCUGAAUUCUGGUGCCAGCCAGAGGCAGAACUAGUCUCCUAUAAAGAGGAAAGGCUUUUACCUGGGGCAGGUAACUUAUCAGACCACCUUGUAGGAAACACUAGAGAGGGGAGACAAGGAUGGGUCAAUGACCGCACUGACCAGGACUAGUUCACUCUUCAUAUUCCUUGCCUUCUAUUAAAAGUUUACUCAACAUUCAGAGGGCAAGUGGCUAAGCCUGGCUUGUUUGAGCUGCCAGGACAUAGGCUCUGGUCCUAGCUCUAGUAGUACGACUUUGCUUAAAACUGGAACUGAGAGAGCUAGAAGGAAAGAUGGCUCAGUGGUUAAGGAGCACUUGAUCAUCUUACACCAGACCUUGGUUUAGCUCCCAGCACAACUAUGGCAGCUCGGAACUACCUUGAACUCCAGUCCCAGGGGUUCUAGCCCCUGUGGCACCAGGCGUGAAUGAACAUACACUCGGGCAAACCAUGCAUACGCACAGAAAAUAAAUAAACGAACACACAACGGCACUAAGUAAGAGGCAUUGCCAAUUGUCAUCCUCAGAAGAUUGGUCACUACGUGGCCAUGGCCAGCUACAGGACAGGAAGGUCUUCCACGCUGCCAAAAGAUCAAAGGUCUGCAAGUGCUGCUGAGAAAUGAAAAUGAUUCCGAAUUAUAAGCGGGGUUGGACUCGUGCCUGGGAGGAGGGGGACAUUGUGCAGUCAAGUCUUCAGUGUGCAAGGUGGAAACGACAGUUGAUGGGCGUGGGCGAGGCCCUCAUAGCAAAGAAUGCCCAUUUUCAUCAGAUUAAAAUCUAGCUUGGGAAAACAAUUACCUGCCUGGGAUCCUGGGAAAGUUAAAACUUCCUGGUUCCUCCCCCUGAAAGGAAACACUAGAAAAGGAGGACUGAGAAUCUUCUAAACAAGAAUUUAGAGUUUUACUCAAACAGCUGCAGUUCGCCUUUGUGGGCCUCAGACUCGCUGCCUCUGAUGGAUGCUGCAAUGCUAAGUUCCAGGUCUCCCCAGUCUGGUGCCAAGAGCUGGCCCUGGGGGACAAAGCGAGAACAGUUGCUCUCUUAAUCAGAGCAGAAAACAAAACUCACCCCCCCACCCCCGCUUUGUUGUGAAAUUGUCACUGGGCCUUUGAGGAGCGAUUAAAAUCCCAGCCAUGUCAAAUUUAAAGGGCAGGUUCCCAGGCAGGGAGAGGAGGGAGCUUAAGGAGGGAAGGGUGGGGGCAGCCAGUUUCAGGAAAUUUAUGGAGGAUUUGGGGAUCGCAAAAGUCAUGGGACCUGAUUCAAUUAAAACGGAAAAGCACCAACACAGUUUUAAAAUAAGCUUAAAAUAUGGCUGAAGGAUAUUUUGGCUUCUCUGAUUCUAUUCCUGAGCUUCUAUUCUGUGUAGUGUGACGGUGGCUGUCCUGCCUCCUCUCCAGCCCUUAACACAGAUAGCAGGAGACAGCGGAAGACACUCGGGAGUCUGUCAGAGCCCACCAAAGGCUCUGACACAGGGGUAGGACCAGGAGUUCUCGGGCACGGGUGUAAAAGCGCAGAGCUUGCCAUGCGAUCCAUGCAGGGCUCUGUGGUUUCACAGCACCCCCAGGGUACCAGACCCGGAGUAGCCUGACUUUCAGAAGGCAGCCUGGGUCCCUCCAGGCUCGCAGGCUGCUCGCUCCAGCUCUCUGGUGCUGACUAUGCCUAGAACGAGCAGAAACCCCUGCCGUGUUUUCUCCUGGAAGGAGGACGAGACUGUGCCAGUUCUAAUCCAUGGGUGCGGUGCCCAGAGAAGCACAUGCUGGAACGCAGGACGGAAGCUGGGAGGUGAAGGCCCCAACUGCAUCGGCACAGGACCAGGGUCUUCACUCCUUGUGAAUAUCACACUGAUGCUUGGGUGGGCUGAAGGAGUCAUUCUUAAGUCAGUAGGGUCCCAUCAAGUCAGGUCUAGCUCAUUGCUAGGGUGGGACACACUACAGUAGCUGGCUCCUAGGCGAGGGCUCUUGGGAAGAGCAGGUGGCCAUCUUAGCACACAAGGGGUACAUGACCGAGAUGUCAGAGCUCAUUGCUUCCCUUGUGCCUUGGCUGACUAAUCAUUAACUUUCCUGUUUCCUUUCCCACUGAGAUUUCUGCAUCUUGGCAUCUAUCAAAAUGGUGCUGGGAUGAAUCUUGCUCAUUCACAAAAGACUACAGGCCCCAGUUCAGUAAGUAUGUGGAAGUCCGUGCAAUCACUUUUCUUCUCCCCUUCUUUCUAAAUACACUAAAGACCCCUAGCAGAUAUUUAAGAAACCUUACACGGGCUAUGAAAACUGAGUUUUAGUAGCAUGACAAUAAAUAUCAUUUGAUAAAGUUGUUUUCUGAAUCAAUCACAACAGGGUAACCCAAAUAGCUAAAAUCGGGGAAGAGAGAGGCUAAAAUCCCCCAAUCAAGAGAAGCUCUCGGGUGUUGCUAGGAAUUCCUGCUCUUAAGCAAAAAUUGCAGCAGGAAUGCUUGUACCCUUUGUGAAGUGGGAAAUAAAGGGCUUCAGCUCUCUGGAUCUACAGGGGCUCUGUGACUGCAUUGAUUCCUCCCGGAAAGAGGAGGAGGCAAGGGCUGUCUGCCCACUGCACACGAGGCUUAGUCUCCAUGGUGUUUCCUACUUUCCCAGGCCCACCACAGCAACAGGAGUGGUUCACUGCCAGCCAACAAGGGGGCUGUCCUUGGUGGGAACUCUGCCUGAGUAGCAGGGAGGACUGGAACUACAUUGCUGGGUGAGUGUGUCUCCGAAAAUAUUCCUUACCUCCUACUUCCUUACCUCCUACUUCUUACCUCCUACUAGGGAUGGGGUUCCUGACUCUUACCUCCCAAGGCUCCGGCAGAAAUUAUGGGUGGAAAUGUCCUUUUUCUUAUUAUAGAUAUACCAAAAAGAAUAAGCAGUAAACCCACCCAGGGGUCCCUGAGCUCCUGAAGACCAGUGCGAAUGUGUCAAUAAACAGUCCCUUUGAUUCAUUGCUAUCCGUGGGACUUUUUGUGUCUUCAGGUACAAAUAGGAGAAGGUGUUUUGUUAUGUACUCCAGAGCUGGUAACAUGGGGCUUUCAGAAGACUGUUCCACUCCUGCCUCUACACCCAGAAGUGCAAAAUUGUCACCUCCUUCAGUGAGGUUCCUAAUUUAGAAGAUGCCAUGUUUAGAGUUCAUUUCAGUUUGACUUGUAAAUGAAAGGUGGAACCUUGUCAAAAUGACCUUACCCGGUGACUCCUGUCCCCACCCACUCGCACAUAACCCUCCUUGUCAUGCUGAGAUGGGACAGAUGCCAUUAGAAAGAGAAGCCAAGAAGCACAGAGCAAGCAGUGAAGCUCCUUCAGCCACGUAAAAGUGUGUCCUCCGCUCCGAAGUCUGACUGCCCUGUGCUCCUUACUGGUAGAGAUGGUCUCAAGCCUUGAGGGUCUUGGAAUCAGUAGGGAUCCUGAGCAAAUAGCAGAUGUAUUUAGGUUCUCCCCUUCCCUAGCCUUCUAAAUCAGUGUCUCAGGAUCUAUACGUUGUUUUGGGACAAUGUAUAGAAAUACCCAGUAAGAGUUGGGGAAUUCUUACGGAAACGGAAGUGUGAGUUUCUUCCAGUGCUCAUGGCUAUCAAGCUGUCAUUUGCAGAAGGUCUGACACAGUCACCCUCACUAUCCCUCUACUAAAUCCUCAUGAUAAACCCAGAUUUUUUUUUUAAGAGGAAGCAACAUCGGAAGAAUUCAAGUGGACCUAAAAUAGGGGUCCUCGGCUAGGAGAUACGUCCUGUGAUGUUUCACAAUAUCAAAUUCAUGUGGAAGAUUUUACAAGGGUCCUGCCCUUCCAGAGACAGCCUGGUUACUGAGGCAGGGUAAGGGCAGAGGCAAUCAGUGACUCUUUCCGGGUCCAACCAGCAGCUGCUGGCUGUACCUUCUUACUUCUGCCUACCUGGUUAGCUCUGGGCUUUGUUCUCUGUUUUCCGAUUUUAUUGUUUUCCUCUUACCCUGCUUCGUCUCCUAACUUCCCUCCUGUGCAGUGGUCGUACCCAGAUAACCACCAAGUCAUUUAGUGGGAUCUGAGUCAUAUGCCCAGGGAGAGUGGCAGACUGGUUUGGAUUAUGGCUUGGACACCAGGAUCCUUUGGAACUCUGGAUUAGUUCCAUUGCACAGCUAAAGUCUGGAGCUGUCACUCCACACCUGUCAUCUGCAGCCUGCAGAAGGAGAAGAUUCACCAGGAUAUAUUCAGAUGAGCGAGGUAACUGACUACCAUAUACUCAUAUAACCAGGAUACUGCAAAGAUGCCCAGGGCAGGCCCAGGGCCAGCCCAGCCAUAUCGCCGCUCACACAGCUGCCACCAUCUGCUGCAGGGAACAAGAGUUCCUAACUCCUGUAAGUAAAGUACAUCCUAGGCUGGCCUGUGCUAAGGCAUUCUGGGAGAACAUACACUGCCCCCUUGGGAUCGGGGGAUGCCCAGGGGUGGGUGCCAGGAAGUAGGGCAGGAGCACAAGUGUCCUGAACAUCGAAUGGUCUGAAACAAGGAGUGGCUGUGCACACACCGCUCUCCCAGGGAGAUCCGUACCAUAAACCCGACCAUAAAACUAGCUUCCUUGGCUCAUUCUGCACCAGCUCCCAGUUUUAUUGCUCACACAGCACUCAUACCCUGAGAAGGACAGCACAUUUGCAUAGAACUCUGCUUCACAUUGGUCUCUUCAAGGAAGCACUGCAGAGUGCAAUAAACGUCAUAUGCCUUCCUGGAGCACUUGCCUGCAGACAAGAAGGACUCCCUGCGAAAGGGGUUCUUAUAUAACAUAGACCAUGGCUGCCAGGGAAGAUGUGGCUGAAGAGCGAAUUCCUAAGCUACCUAAAGGCAUCUACAAAGGCCUGGGAUCUCCGUACUUCCUGCAGUGACUAACCUCUGCUGAGCUUUAAGUGACCAAACACACGUGGCACUGGAGGUGGGCCUUGGACCUGCUCCCUGCUCUGCACCUUUAAAUGAUGAAGAAGGGUAAAGCAUGGCAGAUCGCAGUGCUGUAGGGGUCAUCCAUCCACUUAGGGAAAGCCAUCAGAGAAGUCAAGAAAUAACUUCUCCAGAUAAACCCCUGCCUGGGGCCAAGAACAAAGAAAAGGAUGGAGACAAAGUAUCUGUCUCUCUUAGGUGUUGUGUGAGGAGAGCAGGCCCACUGUUGGAGCCACUGUCCAAGAACUUGUCCUAGAUUGCAGAAAGCAUCACAUGAGCUAAACCAUUACCAAGAAAAGAUAGGUCAAGGGGCCGUGGAAAGAGCAGGUUAGAUAUACACCUCCCGCCACCCGUCUCUCUCUCUCUCUCUCUCUCUCUCUCUCUCUCUCUCUCUCUCUGGUAUGGGGACAGGCCUUCCUUGUGAGAGACAGCUGCAGAUACGGCCUGUAUAUAACCACUAUCUUAGAGCUGUGCCUUUCAGGGCUGAAGCAGCUUCUCAUGAAAACAAUUUCAAAGCAACCUGGAAGUAAAAUGUCUCCAGAGGAGAUGACCAGACAUCACUGCCUACAUGGCAAGAGUUAAGACAAAAUGUCAUGGCAGCACCCUCUGUAUGGUAUGGGGGGCCUAGGACAAAUGUGUCUAGGACAGGCAUUACGCAUCUGUAAUCACAGAGUCUCAGCAGUAAACACUUGUCUGGGAGAAUGCCUUUGCUCUCUUCAUGUCCCAGCUCUUGUGUACAUUAAGCAGAAUAAUUUAUUUUAGCCAGGAUAACCAUCCUCCUCUUGUAUUGUGUCCUCUGAAGGCAGCUCGUUGUAGAGCAUCAGUCCUCCACUUCACCGAGCAAGGAGCUUCGACCAGGGCCCUGCCCCCACAAGUACGGACUGUCUCCAGGACCACACAGACACAGCUAUGUGACUGCCAGUCGGAGACAAGAAAAAAAAUAAAAGACACCUUGGAGAAACAUCAGCUACCCAUACUGACGACAUCUGCGUUGCCGUGACCAGGUCUCUGACAGCAACAACUUAGCAGGAGGAAUUAUUUCUUGUGGUUCACUGUUUUAGAGGUUCCAGUCCCCCGGUGCGGAGGGUGGCUCACAGGAAAGCAGAGCUCAUCUCAGGAAAGGGGAGAAGCCACCUCCAGCAAGUGGCUGGAGUCCUCCUGGCCUUCCCCUUGGACCUGCGCCACGGUCUGGGUACUCCCUCAGAUUUGGCUAAUCCUCUCUAGAGUACCCUCAUACCCAUGUUCUCACUUCACCAAUCCCCUUCAAUCUAACUCCCAUCAGCCUGACCAUCAAAUGUAGCCAUCACCGCACCUAACCAAGGGGAACAUGGGAACAUGUAUGGGGCAUCAUCUUGGCUCUGGUCUUGUCUCUUAUCACCUUUGUUCUGAUUCUGUAAUCCCAUGCUAUCUGGCAAAAUUAAGAAAGCUAGGUAGCUUGCCUAGAGUCACUUCCCUGGUCUGGGUUGAAAUCUUGGUAAUUAACAGGUGCCCCGACAAGCAGCAAGUCUUCCUCAGGCCUCCGUCCGCACCAGCUCGAGUGCACCGCACCUCACGCAAAUGCUAUUCCAACUGAACACCUUCCAUCUACCCAUCAGCUCUAAGAGACAGGUACCCCCAUGAACCCGGCACAUGGCUUGGAGUCCAUUCCCAUCAGUAAGAGCCAGGUUCUCAGCCUGCAGAACCUUGGGCCUUGACUUUAGCUUCUAAUCACUUCUCUGUCUUUUCCUGAGAUGUGCCAUACCAUCUAGUUUUAAACCGUACUGAUUAACAGGCAGAAAAUUGUCAAAAUAGCUUGGGUUUUUAGGAUGAAUACUUUAAAUACUAUAAAUCCACUCCUUGUGGGGAGUGAUCGUUUGGUGCGGCUUCUGCUGAUUGCUCGGUAUCUCUCCAAGACUGCGAUGUGCACAGACUAUUUUGGUCUCGGUUAAUAUAUAGCACUGCAUAAACACUGAGUCAACAGGAGGGGCUGAACAAUAAAUUAUCACUAGUCCAAGUGCUAAAAUAGCACCCGCUUUCUCUCUGCCUGAGCGUGCUAUCUAUUUAUGGUUCGCUUACUUCUGCGGAGUUCUAAGCCUUUAUAUACAUUUCAUCAUAGUUAUACUUAUGCACAUAUAUCAUCUUUAUUAUACACACACGUGUCUAAUGCACCCCUCCCUGCCUACCGUUUACUACGGGACUCUCGGUUUCCAGCUAACUUUUGAAUCCAUGACACUGUCUGCCUUUAGCUUAUGAUCAGUGGAAGAGUGGAUGUAGGCUGACAAUAAAAAGAGAUUUAGUUCA
rnacentral:sRNA from 1 species